rnacentral:rRNA from 1 species
GACGAACGCUGGCGGCGUGCCUAAUACAUGCAAGUCGAACGCAGUGGGGACGGGUGAGGAACACGUGGGUAAUCCCCCAUCAGAGGGGGAAACACUUGGAAAAAGGUGCUAAACCGAUAUUGCAUGAUGGACCCGCGGUGAAUUAGCGAGUUGGUGAGGUAACGGCUCACCAAGGCCACGAUGCAGAGCCGACCUGGGAGGGUGAUCGGCCACACUGGGACUGGGACACGGCCCAGACUCCUACGGGAGGCAGCAGUAGGGAAUAUUCGGCAAUGGACGAAAGUCUGACCGAGCAACGCCGCGUGAGUGAAGAAGGUUUUCGGAUCGUAAAACUCUGUUGUUAGAGAAGCGGUAUCUAACCAGAAAGCCACGGCUAACUACGUGCCAGCAGCCGCGGUAAUAC